rnacentral:rRNA from 1 species
GGGGAAUAUUGCGCAAUGGGGGGAACCCUGACGCAGCAACGCCGCGUGGAGGAAGAAGGUCUUCGGAUUGUAAACUCCUGUCUUCUGGGACGAAGUAUGACGGUACCAGAGGAGGAAGCCACGGCUAACUACGUGCCAGCAGCCGCGGUAAUACGUAGGUGGCGAGCGUUGUCCGGAAUUACUGGGCGUAAAGGGCGCGUAGGCGGCUUUUUAAGUUAGAUGUGAAAACCCGGGGCUUAACUUCGGGCGUGCAUUUAAAACUGGAGAGCUUGAGUGCAGGAGAGGUAAGUGGAAUUCCUAGUGUAGCGGUGAAAUGCGUAGAUAUUAGGAGGAACACCAGUGGCGAAGGCGACUUACUGGACUGUAACUGACGCUGAGGCGCGAAAGCGUGGGGAGCAAAC